GAUGAACGCUGGCGGCGUGCUUAACACAUGCAAGUCGAACGGGAAAUCUUUCAUUGAGACUUCGGUGGAUUUGAUUUAUUUCUAGUGGCGGACGGGUGAGUAACGCGUGGGUAACCUGCCUUAUACAGGGGGAUAACAGUCAGAAAUGGCUGCUAAUACCGCAUAAGCGCACAGAGCUGCAUGGCUCAGUGUGAAAAACUCCGGUGGUAUAAGAUGGACCCGCGUUGGAUUAGCUAGUUGGUGGGGUAACGGCCCACCAAGGCGACGAUCCAUAGCCGGCCUGAGAGGGUGAACGGCCACAUUGGGACUGAGACACGGCCCAGACUCCUACGGGAGGCAGCAGUGGGGAAUAUUGCACAAUGGGGGAAACCCUGAUGCAGCGACGCCGCGUGAAGGAAGAAGUAUCUCGGUAUGUAAACUUCUAUCAGCAGGGAAGAUAGUGACGGUACCUGACUAAGAAGCCCCGGCUAACUACGUG
rnacentral:rRNA from 1 species